rnacentral:rRNA from 1 species
UACGAGGGGGGCGAGCGUUGUUCGGAAUUAUUGGGCGUAAAGGGUGCGUAGGCGGCCUGACAAGUCUGAUGUGAAAUCCCUGGGCUCAACCCAGGGCCUGCAUCGGAAACUGUCGGGCUUGAGUAUGGGAGAGGUGAGUGGAAUUUCCGGUGUAGCGGUGAAAUGCGUAGAUAUCGGAAGGAACACCUGUGGCGAAAGCGGCUCACUGGACCAUAACUGACGCUGAGGCACGAAAGCUAGGGGAGCAAACAGG